GUUCUGUUAGUGUUCUGCAGAAAUGAAGAAAGAACAUUUGUGGUUAUUGGCUUUUAUUGUAACAAUCUUGAUAUUGUACCAUCCAACGGACGCG